rnacentral:rRNA from 1 species
UGACCUACGGGACGCAGCAGUGGGGAAUAUUGCACAAUGGGGGAAACCCUGAUGCAGCGACGCCGCGUGAGUGAAGAAGUAUUUCGGUAUGUAAAGCUCUAUCAGCAGGGAAGAAAAUGACGGUACCUGACUAAGAAGCCCCGGCUAACUACGUGCCAGCAGCCGCGGUAAUACGUAGGGGGCAAGCGUUAUCCGGAUUUACUGGGUGUAAAGGGAGCGUAGACGGUAGAGCAAGUCUGAAGUGAAAGCCCGCGG